GGAUUAGAUACCCUGGUAGUCCACGCCGUAAACGAUGAUAACUAGCUGUCCGGGUUCAUGGAACUUGGGUGGCGCAGCUAACGCAUUAAGUUAUCCGCCUGGGGAGUACGGUCGCAAGAUUAAAACUCAAAGGAAUUGACGGGGGCCUGCACAAGCGGUGGAGCAUGUGGUUUAAUUCGAAGCAACGCGCAGAACCUUACCAGCCUUUGACAUCCUAGGACGACUUCUGGAGACAGAUUUCUUCCCUUCGGGGACCUAGUGACAGGUGCUGCAUGGCUGUCGUCAGCUCGUGCCG
rnacentral:rRNA from 1 species